rnacentral:lncRNA from 1 species
UUCUCCCACCGAACGUUAGGGUUGGUUUUUCUGGAACAGUUACAGCUGUCGGCCGCCAAUUGCAACAGAUUCAUUCAUGGUCUUUCACUUCAACCUUGGCAUGAUUGGUCUCCUACGUACGUUAUGUAUGCAUGCAUGCAUGGAGAUUGUGAUAUAUAAUAACUAGUAUGGCUAAACAAAAGUCCAUAUUAGAUUGUGAUAAUAACUAGUAUGCCUAAACAAUAGACCAUACUAGAUUGUGAUAGUAACUUGUAUGGCUAAAC